UUGUAGCGCAAUGAAUAGCGCUUUGGAUUUUUAAUCUAAAUGUGAUGGGUUUGAAUUCCACCAGAAUAA